AUUGAACGCUGGCGGCAGGCCUAACACAUGCAAGUCGAGCGGAUGAAGGGAGCUUGCUCCUGGAUUCAGCGGCGGACGGGUGAGUAAUGCCUAGGAAUCUGCCUGGUAGUGGGGGAUAACGUCCGGAAACGGGCGCUAAUACCGCAUACGUCCUGAGGGAGAAAGUGGGGGAUCUUCGGACCUCACGCUAUCAGAUGAGCCUAGGUCGGAUUAGCUAGUUGGUGGGGUAAAGGCCUACCAAGGCGACGAUCCGUAACUGGUCUGAGAGGAUGAACAGUCACACUGGAACUGAGACACGGUCCAGACUCCUACGGGAGGCAGCAGUGGGGAAUAUUGGACAAUGGGCGAAAGCCUGAUCCAGCCAUGCCGCGUGUGUGAAGAAGGUCUUCGGAUUGUAAAGCACUUUAAGUUGGGAGGAAAGGCAGUAAGUUAAUACCUUGCUGUUUUGACGUUACCAACAGAAUAAGCACCGGCUAACUUCGUG
rnacentral:rRNA from 1 species